rnacentral:rRNA from 1 species
CCGGUGCGGGCGAGCCUAACACAUGCAAGUCGAGCGGUAGCACAGAGAGCUUGCUCUCGGGUGACGAGCGGCGGACGGGUGAGUAAUGUCUGGGAAACUGCCUGAUGGAGGGGGAUAACUACUGGAAACGGUAGCUAAUACCGCAUAACGUCGCAAGACCAAAGUGGGGGACCUUCGGGCCUCAUGCCAUCAGAUGUGCCCAGAUGGGAUUAGCUAGUAGGUGGGGUAACGGCUCACCUAGGCGACGAUCCCUAGCUGGUCUGAGAGGAUGACCAGCCACACUGGAACUGAGACACGGUCCAGACUCCUACGGGAGGCAGCAGUGGGGAAUAUUGCACAAUGGGCGCAAGCCUGAUGCAGCCAUGCCGCGUGUGUGAAGAAGGCCUUCGGGUUGUAAAGCACUUUCAGCGGGGAGGAAGGCGAUAAGGUUAAUAACCUUGUCGAUUGACGUUACCCGCAGAAGAAGCACCGGCUAACUCCGUGCCAGCAGCCGCGGUAAUACGGAGGGUGCAAGCGUUAAUCGGAAUUACUGGGCGUAAAGCGCACGCAGGCGGUCUGUCAAGUCGGAUGUGAAAUCCCCGGGCUCAACCUGGGAACUGCAUUCGAAACUGGCAGGCUAGAGUCUUGUAGAGGGGGGUAGAAUUCCAGGUGUAGCGGUGAAAUGCGUAGAGAUCUGGAGGAAUACCGGUGGCGAAGGCGGCCCCCUGGACAAAGACUGACGCUCAGGUGCGAAAGCGUGGGGAGCAAACAGGAUUAGAUACCCUGGUAGUCCACGCCGUAAACGAUGUCGAUUUGGAGGUUGUGCCCUUGAGGCGUGGCUUCCGGAGCUAACGCGUUAAAUCGACCGCCUGGGGAGUACGGCCGCAAGGUUAAAACUCAAAUGAAUUGACGGGGGCCCGCACAAGCGGUGGAGCAUGUGGUUUAAUUCGAUGCAACGCGAAGAACCUUACCUGGUCUUGACAUCCACAGAACUUUCCAGAGAUGGAUUGGUGCCUUCGGGAACUGUGAGACAGGUGCUGCAUGGCUGUCGUCAGCUCGUGUUGUGAAAUGUUGGGUUAAGUCCCGCAACGAGCGCAACCCUUAUCCUUUGUUGCCAGCGGUUCGGCCGGGAACUCAAAGGAGACUGCCAGUGAUAAACUGGAGGAAGGUGGGGAUGACGUCAAGUCAUCAUGGCCCUUACGACCAGGGCUACACACGUGCUACAAUGGCAUAUACAAAGAGAAGCGACCUCGCGAGAGCAAGCGGACCUCAUAAAGUAUGUCGUAGUCCGGAUUGGAGUCUGCAACUCGACUCCAUGAAGUCGGAAUCGCUAGUAAUCGUAGAUCAGAAUGCUACGGUGAAUACGUUCCCGGGCCUUGUACACACCGCCCGUCACACCAUGGGAGUGGGUUGCAAAAGAAGUAGGUAGCUUAACCUUCGGGAGGGCGCUACCACUUUGAUAGUGUU